UCGCGGCUUAUCACCGGCAGUCUCCUUAGAGUGCUCAACUAAAUGGUAGCAACUAAGGACGGGGGUUGCGCUCGUUGCGGGACUUAACCCAACAUCUCACGACACGAGCUGACGACAGCCAUGCAGCACCUGUGUUCCAGGCUCCGAAGAGAAGGUCACAUCUCUGGUCCCGGCGAGUCCCAUGUCAAGGGCUGGCAAGGUUCUGCGCGUUGCGUCGAAUUGAACCACAUGCUCCACCGCUUGUGCAGGCCCCCGUCAAUUUCUUUGAGUUUUAACCUUGCGGCCGUACUCCCCAGGCGGAUGACUUAACGCGUUAGCUGCGCCACCGAAACGCUAAGCGCCCCGACAGCUAGUCAUCAUCGUUUACGGCGUGGACUAC
rnacentral:misc_RNA from 1 species